UUCCAGACUCCUACGGGAGGCAGCAGUGGGGGAUAUUGCACAAUGGGGGGAACCCUGAUGCAGCGACGCCGCGUGGGUGAAGGAGUGUUUCGGCGCGUAAAGCCCUAUCGGCAGGGAAGAAGGAGGACGGUACCUGACUAAGAAGCCCCGGCUAACUACGUGCCAGCAGCCGCGGUAAUACGUAGGGGGCAAACGUUAUCCGGAUUUACUGGGUGUAAAGGGGGCGCAGACGGCAGCGCAAGCCAGGAGGGAAAGCCCGGGGCCCAACCCCGGGACUGCUCUUGGAACUGCGCGGCUGGAGUGCAGGAGGGGCAGGCGGAAUUCCUGGUAUAGCGGUGAAAUGCGUAGAUAUCAGGAGGAACACCGGUGGCGAAGGCGGCCUGCUGGACUGCGACUGACGUUGAGGCCCGAAAGCGUGGGGAGCAAACAGGAUUAGAUACCCCUGUAGAA
rnacentral:rRNA from 1 species